rnacentral:lncRNA from 1 species
UCCUCCCAGCCAGCUCAGAUCCCCCUCCCCCUCCCCCUCCCCCUGCCUCUCCUCCACCCUCUCCCCACCUACUGCCCCCUUCCCAACCAGCCUUUCCCCAAGGCCCGACAGCGAAACCUUCACCAGCACAGUGGCCCUGGGGUGCCCACCAGCCUCCCCUGUCGCUAACCUCCAGAGCCCCUGUGCACCCCGACCCACUGCGGGGGCAGCGUAACGGCGGCGAGGCUUUUCUCCGGUCUUCUAUAACUAAGGUGGGGGAAGGAGAGGGAGACAGCAGCUUUCCCUGGCCUAGCCCUUUAAAAGAAAAAAGAGACAAACAGCCACACCGCCCCCGCAGCGCCUCUCACUGGACGACUUUUCUACCCUUCUACCCGGACCCUUCCAAAGCCCACCUCUGGCUGUCUAGGUGCAUCAGCCACAGAGCUACACCAUUGUUGCUACUCACUAUUACUGAAACUAAGUGACAACAAAGCCUGAAUUAAGAGAUCCUUUUCCAUAAGGAAGAGGAGGGGGAGUGAUGAAUUUAAAAGACUAAAGGAAAAAGCUGAACUUGAAAGACCAUGAGUUGAAGAGGGUUGAAGGCUAAAGUUCAGAGGUGUGGUCUAAGAAAGUGUAUCUAGAUGAAUAUGGAUUUUAGUGUCCUAAGGAAAAGUGAAGGGCUUUGCACCUGUGUGUCUCACUUCCUACCUACCAAUCUCUGAUUCCACCACACUCGAUUUUUUGCACCUGAUGGACAUAUGCAAAGCUGCCUUGGAACAGUCACAGCUGUGAUAAAAGCUGCACUAGAAGGACACUAGAAAUACUAAGAACAGAAGGUUCUUUAAGUGCCCUCCCUCCUCAUUUCAGCAGUACAAGAGAACACGUGGCUCUUAAACGCCUGAGCCAAAAUUGCCACUCUUCUGAAUUUCCUGCCUUUUUUCUUGUUUCCUUCCAAGGAGAGCUAGGUUGGUAGAUACCACACUGUGUGUACUCCAUGUCCACAUCAAGCCCUGGUUUGUGUCCUUACCAGACCCUUCCUCUUAUCCCAGUCUGUUUUCUCACGUUUAUUUGAAGAAUAACAUGUCUUAGAAUAUAAAGUCAAGAAGACCCUAAUUGAAGAUGGUGAAGGAUGAGAUGGAUUAAAAAAAAAAAAGGAACCUAUGUAUAACAAAAAGAAUUAAUCCUUUCCUAGCUUCUUGUUAUUCCCUUUGCCUUGCUAAGCUCUGUUUUUAAAGGCAAAAGACUCUUCCAGCAUUAUUCCAUGUUAAUAACACACUGCUAGAGUGGGC